AGUGAACGCUGGCGGUAGGCCUAACACAUGCCAGUCGAACGGCAGCACAGUAAGAGCUUGCUCUUACGGGUGGCGAGUGGCGGACGGGUGAGGAAUACAUCGGAAUCUACUUUUUCGUGGGGGAUAACGUAGGGAAACUUACGCUAAUACCGCAUACGACCUACGGGUGAAAGCAGGGGAUCUUCGGACCUUGCGCGAUUGAAUGAGCCGAUGUCGGAUUAGCUAGUUGGCGGGGUAAAGGCCCACCAAGGCGACGAUCCGUAGCUGGUCUGAGCGGAUGAUCAGCCACACUGGAACUGAGACACGGUCCAGACUCCUACGGGAGGCAGCAGUGGGGAAUAUUGGACAAUGGGCGCAAGCCUGAUCCAGCCAUACCGCGUGGGUGAAGAAGGCCUUCGGGUUGUAAAGCCCUUUUGUUGGGAAAGAAAAGCAGCAGGUUAAUACCCCGCUGUUCUGACGGUACCCAAAGAAUAAGCACCGGCUAACUUCGUG
rnacentral:rRNA from 1 species